GUGCUCACUUUGGCAGCACAUAUACUAAAAUUGAAACGAUACAGAGAAGAUUAGCAUGGCCCCUGCACAAGGAUGACAUGCAAAAAACUGUUAAUUUUUAAAAGUUGUA